UACAGAGGGGGCAAGCGUUGUUCGGAAUUACUGGGCGUAAAGGGCGCGUAGGCGGCCCGCUAAGUCGAACGUGAAAUCCCCGAGCUCAACUCGGGAACUGCGUCCGAUACUGGCGGGCUUGAAUCCGGGAGAGGGAUGCGGAAUUCCAGGUGUAGCGGUGAAAUGCGUAGAUAUCAGGAGGAACACCGGCGGCGAAGGCGGCACUCUGGGCCGGUACUGACGCUGAGGAGCGAAAGCGUGGGUAGCAAACAGG
rnacentral:rRNA from 1 species